CAGUAGCCGCGGGAAAACGUAGGUGGCAAGCGUUGUCCGGAAUUAUUGGGCGUAAAGGGCUCGCAGGCGGUUUCUUAAGUCUGAUGUGAAAGCCCCCGGCUCAGCCGGGGAGGGUCAUUGGAAACUGGGAAACUUGAGUGCAGAAGAGGAAAGUGGAAUUCCACGUGUAGCGGUGAAAUGCGUAGAGAUGUGGAGGAACACCAGUGGCGAAGGCGACUCUCUGGUCUGUAACUGACGCUGAGGAGCGAAAGCGUGGGGAGCGAACAGGAUUAGAUACCCCUGUAGUCCCUGUCUCUUAUAC
rnacentral:rRNA from 1 species